rnacentral:rRNA from 1 species
UCGAUUAGCAUGCGAGUCGAGAGGUGCAAGACCUCGGCGCACUGCUCAGUAACACGUGGACAACCUACCCUGUGGAGGGGGAUAACCCCGGAAAACUGGGGAUAAUACCCCAUAGGUUAGGGAGGCUGGAAUGCCCCCUAGCUCAAAGGUCCGCCGCCACAGGAUGGGUCUGCGGCCGAUUAGGUUGUUGUUGGGGUAACGGCCCAACAAGCCUUUGAUCGGUACGGGUUGUGGGAGCAAGAGCCCGGAGAUGGAUUCUGAGACACGAAUCCAGGCCCUACGGGGCGCAGNAGGCGCGAAAACUUUACAAUGCGAGAAAUCGUGAUAAGGGAACCCCGAGUGCCCGUAAAUUCGGGCUGUCCGCCAGUGCAAAAAACUGGGUGAAGA